CCCGUGCGGGGGCGGGCUUUCACAGUUUAGGCAGGAUUCCGGGGUUCCCACAUUUCUGAGAGAGGUGCGGAAGGUGCGGAGUUAUGAAGGAUCCUCAUUUGUCUGGGCAAAAGAUCGUGCGGGCAAAGCAUCCCCUCGAGCAAUAAGGACUGCCCCGAGCCAGCAAGACCCCAGUGACCGACCCCAAGACAAUGAUUGAUGUGACCUCUACUGCCCACCUGCACAUACCCAUGACCUCUGCCCCACCUUUUCCUUAUAUAAACCUGGAAGUAUUUUCAGCACUUUGGAGGCAGUCUUUGAGACACUAGUCCACUGUUUUCCCAGUAUUAGCCUCACUGAAAUAAAAUGCCUUUCUCGUUUCACCA